CAGGAGACUGAGUCCCGAAAGCAAGGAGGAAUUUCCAGAAUGAAGGGCGCCUUCAGGCCCCCCUGCUUUUGCUCAAGCGGUUCCUUCACUCCGAUCAAGUUCCUUCCCAUUUCUCCAUCUAUGGGGAUCCUGAACUCCUGCCAGACCCACCUUUUCCUGGCCCAAGCCAGCGCACCCCGCGCACUCUUUGCCCAGUCCAAACUCCGAGGCUGGGCGAGGCCAAACCCGGGGCAGUCUCUGGGUGAACAGCAGCGUGUCCACCGGCAGCGAACCGAGACCAGCGAGCCGACCAUGCGACUGCACCGACUUCGCGCGCGGCUGAGUGCGGUGGCCUGUGGGCUCCUGUUGCUUCUCGUCCAGGGCCAGGGCCAGGACUCUGCCAGUCCCAUCCGGACCACACACACGGGCCAGGUUCUGGGAGUCUUGUCCAUGUGAAGAGCGCUGAUGCGAAGUCCAUACCUUCCUGGGAAUUCCCUUUGCCAAGCCACCUCUAGGUCCGCUGCGAUUUGCACCCCUGAACCCCCUGAAUCUUGGAGUGGUGGGGAUCUGGAACCACCCAUCCGGAUGUGUGUCUUCAGGACCUCACCACAAUGGAUUCAGAGGUUCAGAGCCAAGUCAAUGUGACCAUCCUUCCAUCCUCCAUGUCUGAGAGGACUGCCUGUAUCUCAGCAUCUGCGCCCGGCUACAGCCACGAAGGCUCUAGCCUACCGGUGAUGGUGUGGAUCACGGUGGUGGGCUUGUUUUGGCAUGGCUUCCAUGUAUGAUGGUUCCAUGCUGGCCGCCUUUGAGGAUGUGGUGGUGGUCACCAUCAGAACAGCCCCUGUGAUCCUAUUCCUGCUACUUCAUGCUGGAGACAAGCAUGCAACCGGCAACUGGGGCUACCUGGACCAAGUGGCUGCACUCACUAGCUGGGUCAGCAGAAUAUCGCCCACUUUGGAGCAGCCUGACCGUGUCACCAUUUUUGGCGAGUCUGCGGGUGGCACGAGUGUGUCUUCACUUGUUGUGUCCCCCAUGUCCCAAGGACUCUUCCAUGGGGCCAUCAUGGAGAGUGGCGUGGCCCUGCUGCCGGGCCUCAUUGCCAGCUCAGCUGAUGUUAUCUCCACGGUGGUGGCCAACCUGUCUGCUUGUGAACAAAGUUGACUCCUGAGGCCCUGGUGAACUGCCUGCGGGGCAAAGAGUAAAGAGGAGAUUCUUGCAAUUAACAAGUCGCCGUUCAACAUGAUGAUCCCUGGUGUAGUCGAUGGGGUCUUCCUGCCCAGGCAUCCCGGGCUGCUGGCCUCUGCCGACUUUCAAGCUGUCCCCAGCAUCAUUGGUAUCAACAACAGUAGAUCCCGGCUGGAUCAUCCCCAAAGUCACGGAGUAUCUAUAUGACACCCAGAAGGAAAUGGACAGAGAGGCCUUCCAGGCUGUUCAGAAAAUAUUAGCGCUGAUGGUAAGGCUCCUAUGGGAUGUUGCACCGCCUACAUUUGAUGACCUGCUGAUGGAAGAGUACAAUGGAAUAUUAGGAACCCGGAGCCACCAAGCCCAGUUACUGCAGGAGAUAAUGGCAGACUCCAUGUUAAGUGAUCCCUGCACUCCAAGUAACACAUUUUCAGCGUGAUUCGGGCCCUGUGUACUUCUAUGAGUUCCAGCAUCAGCCUAGCUGGGUCAAAGAACAUCAGGCGCCCAUGGCAGAGAGAGGCAGACCAUGGUGAUGAGAUUCCUUUUGUUUUCGGAAAUUUCUUCUGGGGCAACUAUGUUAAAAUUCACUGAGAGGAGGAGCAGCUAAGCAGGCGGUGAUGAAAUUACUGGGCCAACUUUGCUCAAAGCCGGCAUGUCUACAGGAACCCCAAUGGCGAGGGUCUGCCACUGUCGCUGUUCGAGCCAGCAGGAGCAAUACCUGCAGCUGAACCUACAGCCUGCAGUGGGCCGGGCUCUGAAGGCCCACAGGUUCCAGUUCUGGAAGAAGGCGCUGCCCCAGCAGAAGAUCCAGGAGCUUGAGGAGCCUGAAGAGAAACACACAGAGCUGUAGCUCCCUGUGCCAGGGAGGAGGGGUUGGGCUCGCUUACAGGCGAGUGUCAGCCUGCUGUGCCCACACACACCCACUAAGGAGAAAACUUGAUUCCUUCA